ACUGAGAUGUCUCAGUUGGUAGACCAUGUGACCCUCAAUCUCAGUCGUGGGUUUGAGCCCCAUGUUGAGUG